rnacentral:rRNA from 1 species
UACGGAGGGUGCAAACGUUGCUCGGAAUCAUUGGGCGUAAAGCGCACGUAGGCGGCGCGUUAAGUCGGAUGUGAAAGCCCCGGGCUCAACCCGGGAAGUGCUUACGAAACUGGCGCGCUUGAAUAUGGAAGAGGGUCGCGGAAUUCCCGGUGUAGAGGUGAAAUUCGUAGAUAUCGGGAGGAACACCAGUGGCGAAGGCGGCGACCUGGGCCAAUAUUGACGCUGAGGUGCGAAAGCGUGGGGAGCAAACAGG